rnacentral:rRNA from 1 species
CGAACUUGGAGAUAGCUGGUUCUCUCCGAAAUAGCUUUAGGGCUAGCCUCAAGUGAUGAUUAUUGGAGGUAGAGCACUGUUUGGACGAGGGGCCCUUCUCGGGUUACCGAAUUCAGACAAACUCCGAAUGCCAAUUAAUUUAACUUGGGAGUCAGAACAUGGGUGAUAAGGUCCGUGUUCGAAAGGGAAACAGCCCAGACCACCAGCUAAGGUCCCAAAAUAUAUGUUAAGUGGAAAAGGAUGUGGCGUUGCCCAGACAACUAGGAUGUUGGCUUAGAAGCAGCCAUCAUUUAAAGAGUGCGUAAUAGCUCACUAGUCGAGUGACACUGCGCCGAAAAUGUACCGGGGCUAAACAUAUUACCGAAGCUGUGGAUUGUCCUUUGGACAAUGGUAGGAGAGCGUUCUAAGGGCGUUGAAGCAUGAUCGCAAGGACAUGUGGAGCGCUUAGAAGUGAGAAUGCCGGUGUGAGUAGCGAAAGACGGGUGAGAAUCCCGUCCACCGAUUGACUAAGGUUUCCAGAGGAAGGCUCGUCCGCUCUGGGUUAGUCGGGUCCUAAGCUGAGGCCGACAGGCGUAGGCGAUGGAUAACAGGUUGAUAUUCCUGUACCACCUAUAAUCGUUUUAAUCGAUGGGGGGACGCAGUAGGAUAGGCGAAGCGUACGAUUGGAUUGUACGUCUAAGCAGUGAGAUUGAGUGUUAGGCAAAUCCGGCACUCUUAAGAUUGAGCUGUGAUGGGGAGAGGAAAUUGUUUCCUCGAGUCGUUGAUUUCACACUGCCGAGAAAAGCCUCUAGAUAGAGAUUAGGUGCCCGUACCGCAAACCGACACAGGUAGUCAAGAUGAGAAUUCUAAGGUGAGCGAGCGAACUCUCGUUAAGGAACUCGGCAAAAUGACCCCGUAACUUCGGGAGAAGGGGUGCUCUUUAGGGUGCAAGCCCAGAAGAGCCGCAGUGAAUAGGCCCAAGCGACUGUUUAUCAAAAACACAGGUCUCUGCUAAACCGUAAGGUGAUGUAUAGGGGCUGACGCCUGCCCGGUGCUGGAAGGUUAAGAGGAGUGGUUAGCUUCUGCGAAGCUACGAAUCGAAGCCCCAGUAAACGGCGGCCGUAACUAUAACGGUCCUAAGGUAGCGAAAUUCCUUGUCGGGUAAGUUCCGACCCGCACGAAAGGCGUAACGAUUUGGGCACUGUCUCAACGAGAGACUCGGUGAAAUCAUAGUACCUGUGAAGAUGCAGGUUACCCGCGACAGGACGGAAAGACCCCGUGGAGCUUUACUGUAGCCUGAUAUUGAAAUUCGGCACAGCUUGUACAGGAUAGGUAGGAGCCUUUGAAACGUGAGCGCUAGCUUACGUGGAGGCGUUGGUGGGAUACUACCCUAGCUGUGUUGGCUUUCUAACCCGCACCACUUAUCGUGGUGGGAGACAGUGUCAGGCGGGCAGUUUGACUGGGGCGGUCGCCUCCUAAAAGGUAACGGAGGCGCUCAAAGGUUCCCUCAGAAUGGUUGGAAAUCAUUCAUAGAGUGUAAAGGCAUAAGGGAGCUUGACUGCGAGACCUACAAGUCGAGCAGGGUCGAAAGACGGACUUAGUGAUCCGGUGGUUCCGCAUGGAAGGGCCAUCGCUCAACGGAUAAAAGCUACCCCGGGGAUAACAGGCUUAUCUCCCCCAAGAGUUCACAUCGACGGGGAGGUUUGGCACCUCGAUGUCGGCUCAUCGCAUCCUGGGGCUGUAGUCGGUCCCAAGGGUUGGGCUGUUCGCCCAUUAAAGCGGUACGCGAGCUGGGUUCAGAACGUCGUGAGACAGUUCGGUCCCUAUCCGUCGUGGGCGUAGGAAAUUUGAGAGGAGCUGUCCUUAGUACGAGAGGACCGGGAUGGACAUACCUCUGGUGUACCAGUUGUCGUGCCAACGGCAUAGCUGGGUAGCUAUGUAUGGACGGGAUAAGUGCUGAAAGCAUCUAAGCAUGAAGCCCCCCUCAAGAUGAGAUUUCCCAACUUCGGUUAUAAGAUCCCUCAGAGAUGAUGAGGUUAAUAGGUUCGAGGUGGAAGCGUGGUGACACGUGGAGCUGACGAAUACUAAUCGAUCGAAGACUUAAUCAA